ACUCCUACGGGAGGCAGCAGUGGGGAAUAUUGCACAAUGGGGGAAACCCUGAUGCAGCCAUGCCGCGUGUGUGAAGAAGGCCUUCGGGUUGUAAAGCACUUUCAGUAGGGAGGAAGGUGAGUGUAGUUAACAUACCUGCAUUAUUUGAUCGUUUACCUUACAGAAGAAGCAACCGGCUAACUCCGUGCCAGCAGCCGCGGUAAUACGGAGGGUGCGAGCGUUAAUCGGAAUUACUGGGCGUAAAGCGCAUGCAGGUGGUUUGUUAAGUCAGAUGUGAAAGCCCGGGGCUCAACCUCGGAAUUGCAUUUGAAACUGGCAGACUAGAGUACUGUAGAGGGGGGUAGAAUUUCAGGUGUAGCGGUGAAAUGCGUAGAGAUCUGAAGGAAUACCGGUGGCGAAGGCGGCCCCCCUGGACGAUACUGACA
rnacentral:rRNA from 1 species